GACGAACGCUGGCGGCGUGCUUAAUACAUGCAAGUCGAACGGAAAGGCCGGGCCUUUCUUGGCUGCUCGAGUGGCGAACGGGUGAGUAACACGUGAGUAACCUGCCUGUGACUGUGGGAUAACUUCAGGAAACGGUGGCUAAUACCGGAUAGGAGCUCCUGUUGCAUGGCGUUGGCUUGAAAGUUUCGGUGGUUGGGGAUGGACUCGAGGCUUAUGUGCUUGUUGGUGGGGUAGUGGAUUACCAAGGCUUAGACGGGUAGCCGGCCUGGGAGUGUGACCGGCCACAGUGGGACUGAGGAAGGGCCCAUACGCAAUCGGGAGGCAGCGGUGGGGAAUAUUGCACGAUAGGCGGAAGGAUGAUGCAGCAACGCCGCGUGCUGGAUGACGGCCUUCGGGUUGUAAACCGCUUUCGCCUGUAACGAAGCGUGAGUGACGGUAAUGUGUAAAGAAGCACCGGCUAACUACGUG
rnacentral:rRNA from 1 species